GGCGGCGUGCUUAACACAUGCAAGUCGAACGGGAAUUACUUUAUUGAAACUUCGGUCGAUGUAAUUUAAUCCUAGUGGCGGACGGGUGAGUAACGCGUGGGUAACCUGCCUUAUACAGGGGGAUAACAGUCAGAAAUGGCUGCUAAUACCGCAUAAGCGCACAGAGCUGCAUGGCUCAGUGUGAAAAACUCCGGUGGUAUAAGAUGGACCCGCGUUGGAUUAGCUAGUUGGUGGGGUAACGGCCCACCAAGGCGACGAUCCAUAGCCGGCCUGAGAGGGUGAACGGCCACAUUGGGACUGAGACACGGCCCAGACUCCUACGGGAGGCAGCAGUGGGGAAUAUUGCACAAUGGGGGGAACCCUGAUGCAGCGACGCCGCGUGAAGGAAGAAGUAUCUCGGUAUGUAAACUUCUAUCAGCAGGGAAGAUAGUGACGGUACCUGACUAAGAAGCCCCGGCUAACUACGUGCCAGCAGCCGCGGUAAUACGUAGGGGGCAAGCGUUAUCCGGAUUUACUGGGUGUAAAGGGAGCGUAGACGGUGUGGCAAGUCUGAUGUGAAAGGCAUGGGCUCAACCUGUGGACUGCAUUGGACACUGUCAUACUUGAGUGCCGGAGGGGUAAGCGGAAUUCCUAGUGUAGCGGUGAAAUGCGUAGAUAUUAGGAGG
rnacentral:rRNA from 1 species